CUCUGUUUUUCCAUUGUGAAUUAGGUCAAAUGGGUAUAUGUUAUUGUAUCAGUGUAUUUAAAAUUGAUACAUAGACUUCUUCCAGUUCAUUGUGGAAUUAAAAUUAUAGGGUUUCAACAUAAUGUGGAAUUAGUUGUUUCUAAUUAAGUUUUCGGUGGUAUUUAGUCCACCUGAUCGAGCAAUUUAGAAUGAGAACCCCGAAAAAACUUCAAUAGAGGUCGUUUGGAAGCCUAAAACUGGGUAGAUUGGUGAGAUUUUGACAUCACUUCAAAAACCCAUGCUUUAUUCGUCUUUAAUCUGUACAACUGGAUUGAUCCCAAAAAAAUGCUAUAUGGUUCAUUCUUAGUUUGUACAACUUCAUGUUUAACAUGUUCUCUCACCUUUUCCGGGCAAAGCAGAAAGGGAAUAUGAAAUGAUACUAAAAAGGACCUUGCUAAGUAUAUAUCAUCUGACUAUUAAUCUAAAUACCACAACUUUUGUUAUACUUCAGGUUGUUAACGAUGACGGCGUUGUAUCCUUCAUACACAAAUUGUUUUUUUCCAUAUAAUUUGUAGAAGAGUCGUUCAUGUAUCUGGUUGUCUGAACCACCUAUAAGGCUAUACUUGUAAAAGUAGGAAGCUUUUUCUAAUAUCUUCUGAUUCUUCUUGUUAUAUACUUAAAAUUUUUGUGUCAGUAUGUCAUAUGAGUUCCUUAUGUUAGGUAGCGGAUAGAUAUUUGUUCAUUAAAUUAUUUAGGGUGUUGAACACUUUCUUGACACAAAUUUUGCAUAGCUUCUUCCUUGUGUUGUUAAUGUUGCUUGUGCAACUCUUGUGGAUGCUAGGAUUCCUUUAAAACAUCUUGUUGUCUCUAUCUGUCGUGGUGUGUCAGAAGCAGGAUCUCUAGUUUUGCAUCCCACCAAGGAUGAAGAGCAGAUUUAGGGGCGGUGAGUGCACUUGGAAGCCUUUCAUUUAGACGACCGAGCGGACAAGUUUGACAUUGCAUGUUAAAUUCUACUUGAGUCUGGUCAAAUCUUCUAGUAACUGAAGUUGACAGACUACGUAUGGAGGAUCUGCUCGAUGUACGCCCAUCGAUCGCCACUGACUUAUGAAGGACAUUGCUGUCGAAGCUGUAAAUAAGAGGUGUUGUGCUACUAAGAAGACUUAAUUUAGAACGCGCAAUUGGGGGAUAUAAAUUACUAUUCCCAUCCAAUAGUGUCUGUUAAGGGGUGUUUUUCGGGGGUGGAAAUACCAAAACUACCCUUUAAAAAAUAAAAACUAAAUCAAACCUAAAUAUUCCCCACUCCCUUUCAAACUCUAAAUUUUUUCCACUCCCUUUCAAAUUCCCUUCUCCUUCUCUGUCGGCUCCUCACUUUGAAAACAAUUUUU